AUUGAACGCUGGCGGCAGGCCUAACACAUGCAAGUCGAGCGAGCGGCGGACGGGUGAGUAAUGUAUGGGGACUGCCCGAUAGAGGGGGAUAACUACUGGAAACGGUGGCUAAUACCGCAUACUACCGGCUAACCCAUAUGGGAUUAGCUAGUAGCUGGGGUAAAGGCUCACCUAGGCGACGAUGCCUACCUGGUCUGAGAGGGUGAUCAGCCACACUGGGACUGAGACACGGCCCAGACUCCUACGGAGGCAGCAGUAGGGAAUAUUGCGCAAUGGGCGCAAGCCUGAUGCAGCCAUGCCGCGUGAAUGAAGAAGGUCUUAGGGUUGUAAAGUACUUUCAGCAGGGAAGCGUUACCUGCAGAAAAAGCACCGGCUAACUCCGUGCCAGCAGCCGCGGUAAUUC
rnacentral:rRNA from 1 species